rnacentral:rRNA from 1 species
UGGGGAAUAUUGGACAAUGGGCGCAAGCCUGAUCCAGCCAUGCCGCGUGAGUGAUGAAGGCCUUAGGGUUGUAAAGCUCUUUUGUCCGGGAAGAUAAUGACUGUACCGGAAGAAUAAGCCCCGGCUAACUUCGUGCCAGCAGCCGCGGUAAUACGAAGGGGGCUAGCGUUGCUCGGAAUCACUGGGCGUAAAGGGCGCGUAGGCGGACUUUUAAGUCGGGGGUGAAAGCCCAGGGCUCAACCCUGGAAUUGCCUUCGAUACUGGGAGUCUUGAGUUCGGAAGAGGUUGGUGGAACUGCGAGUGUAGAGGUGAAAUUCGUAGAUAUUCGCAAGAACACCGGUGGCGAAGGCGGCCAACUGGUCCGAAACUGACGCUGAGGCGCGAAAGCGUGGGGAGCAAACA